UGCAGGCCUUCGUAGAUACUAAUUUGAUUUAUUACUUAUAGUGUGGAUGCUAGUGUUUUAUAUUUUGGUUUAUUGUUUCAGUUUGCAGCGGUGCAUUCCAUCAAAAUAGCGUAUUACCCAGCGUGUCAAAACAUGUACAACGAAAUAGACUGUCCAGUAUACGCAACAUUAAUAAUUUUUAAAUGGAUUCUUAUUUUAAUUAACUUAAUGGUCAUAUUAAGCGCUUUUAUGUUUCUUAUGGGGAUGUUUUUGUCAUAUCCAGUAACAGCAGAUGUAUACAUAGUUUGUGGUUUAAUAACUGCAAUAAGUUCGUUCGUGUUUGGAAUUCUGGCGCUAUUGCAGACAAUUUUCGCGGCGUGCGGUAUAGAUGAUGGAUUUUUCCUGUUUCUUUAUGGCAUAUUAUGGCUAUACUUCAUAGUCGUCAUCGCUUCGUACAGUGAAAAUAUGUAGUACAAGUAACAUGUGG